rnacentral:rRNA from 1 species
GAUGAACGCUGGCGGCGUGCCUAAUACAUGCAAGUCGAGCGAACAGACGAGGAGCUUUCUCCUCUGACGUUAGCGGCGGACGGGUGAGUAACACGUGGAUAACCUACCUAUAAGACUGGGAUAACUUCGGGAAACCGGAGCUAAUACCGGAUAUUAUAUUUAACCGCAUGGUUCAAUAGUGUAAGACGGUUUUGCUGUCACUUUUAGAUUGAUCCGCGCCGCAUUAGCUAGUUGGUAAGGUAACGGCUUACCAAGGCAACGAUGCGUAGCCGACCUGAGAGGGUGAUCGGCCACACUGGAACUGAGACAAGGUCCAGACUCCUACGGGAGGCAGCGGUAGGGAAUCUUCCGCAAUGAGCGAAAGCCUGACGGAGCAACGCCGCGUGAGUGAUGAAGGUCUUCGGAUCGUAAAACUCUGUUAUUAGGGAAGAACAAAUGUGUAAGUAACUAUGCACGUCCUGACGGUACCUAAGCAGAAAGCCACGGCUAACUACGUG